AUGUUAUUUCGGCAGGAGAGAACUGUCUGACCUGUUUGGGAAAGGCACCUUCUUCUUCUUCUUCUUCUACUUCUUCUUCAAAGCAAUCUGCCAUCAGCUCUGCUCUGAGAUAGGCAUCAAGAUAAUCGUGGGUUACACUAGAGGCUCUGGCAAAGAAACAAACUGCUAAAAACCAAGGAAACUAAAUGGAUUCAAACAUUAAGAAAGUAGACAAAAAACUUUAAAUAUAUCAAAGCCUAAAAGGGUAAAAAAUAAAACAAAAGAAUAAGAAUACAUGUUUUAUUUUUUUCUUCUAAACAUUUUUAAUUUUAAAAAUGUUCUUUAAAUGUUUGGCUAUUGGUGCGCAAAUUCAAAUGACAACAGGGCAUCCAAAUUGCCAUAAUGUGAAGAGUCGUGUCUUUUACACUUUUAUGUCAUUUACAGUAUAAAUGUAAAGUUAUACAGAAAAGAAAAUAGUCUAAUAUAUGUUAUACAUGUGUAACUAUAUGCUGUGGCAAGAAAUGCAAGCUCUGAAAUAAAGUAUUUAUCUAAUAUUGUA